rnacentral:misc_RNA from 1 species
UCGAACCGUGAAAUGUUUACAGGUCAUUUUGUAGUGGUGUAGGGUUUGUCAAGGAUUCGAACGAGUACUCCUGGUCUGCGUGGGUUUAUGAGGUCGGAUAAUGGACGAAUAAUAUCAGAAAGUGAUCUGAGGAAAAAACGACGGCUUCCUAAACGAAGCAGUUUGGUGUGAAACACAUUUUAAUUGUUCAAGAAAGAUACCAAGAUGGCUGGCUUGGUGGCCUACAUCUGUUCGUUUAUCUUUAAAAGAUCUGCUCAGAGACGGUCAAAAUACGAUUUACCACUUCCGAUAAACUGCCAUCUUGUUUUGAAUGAUGACGUCAUUCGGGACAGAAGCGUCUUCGUGAUUGGGGAUGUACACGGUUGCUAUGACGAACUUUUAGAUUUAUUAAGUCUCGCUGAAGGCUUAGAACCUGACAGGCCCAUUCUGCCUAUUUUUGUUGGAGAUUUGAUUAAUAAGGGACCAAAAAAUACAGAAGUUCUCGAAAAAAUCAAACGCAUGGACACAUAUGCAGUAAGGGGCAACCAUGACGAGGCUGUGCUGAGACAGCUUUUAAACCGCAGAAACGACCCUGAGUAUGUGUUUCCGCCAAAGUACCAAUGGUGCAAGAGCUUAACCGGUACAGAUGCAGACUUUUUGACUGAACUUCCUUACACGAUAUCCAUCCCGUCAUGCAAUGCGUUGGUCGUUCACGCGGGUCUUGCUCCUGGCAUUCCUAUCGAAAAACAGGACCUGACAGAUAUGAUUGUGAUGAGGAAUGUUGAGAGAAAAGACGACAGAUUGAUGGCGAGUGAGUCUCGUUUUGUUGGAGAACAGUGGGCCUCGCAAUGGCCGGGACCAGAGCAUGUAUAUUUCGGCCAUGAUGCAGUUCGAGGGUUUCAGAGUUUCCCAUUUUGUACUGGUCUCGACACCGGUUGUCUUUAUGGAAAAGAACUCACGGGAAUUUUUAUUAAUGGCUGCAAGAAAAGAAUUUCAGUCAAAGCUCAAAACGUUUAUCGGCCUCCGUGAUACUUCUAGAAUUAGGACUGUAUAAAAAAAACUCCACCCGAAUCAUCGGAAAUCCGAACUUUUAUCAUAACAUCAACUUUAUGUACAAAUUAUAUUCACAGGCACUGGAGUUUAGCCAUUAGAAAUGAAUAAAUACAUUAAUAACAAAAAAAAAAUAUUUUUAAAAAGGACUGGUCUGGACGUUGCCGGCCUCUAAACAUAUGUCCCGAUCAGGAUCCGGACGGGCCCUUUUUCUAAUUAGAUUUUUAUCCUAAUUUUUUGUUUUAUGGCUAAAUCAAGUGCCGGUGCAUUAUGUUAUUUAUAAAUGCCGUUUUUCAUUAUGAUUGGGGAAAUAGUUUCGUUUAAACAUAUUUAUUACCAAAAGUAGACAAAGGGAUUAGGCACAAGUUAUUAUAACUUAGCAACGCCUUCUCUCAAUAUAUUCAUGUAACGCAAGUGUUAUGAGCUAGCCAUGGGGCGUCUCAAAAAUAUACCAAGAGACCAGAGACUCUGUAAAAAAUGUGGUGUGUUAGAAAAUGAAGUACACUUCUGUUUUCACUGUUCCCUAAAUGAAUCUGUCAGAAAAGAAUACUUCCAAAAAUGCAUUCCUAAUCACAAUGAUGUUACCUUAGAUACCAAUUAUUUGACCUCAAUAUUAUCUACAAACAACUCCCAAUUUAUACUGGACUCUUGCUUAUUCAUUAAACAGUCUCUAGAACUGAGGAGAGUGGGCUUGCUGACAGUAUAAGCUAUGUUAAUUUUGUUCAUGUUAAUGUAUAUUAGAUAUAUAAGCAAUCACUUUGCGACUUUUCUACAUGAACAUGUCUAUGUAUAUAUUUUACUGUGUUUUUCUAUUUUGCCUUCAAACUACUUUGAAGUUACAAAGGUGCAAAUAAAUUUUGAAUUUGAAUUUGAAUUUGUAAAACAAUGAUAUUUCGCAUACAUACAUAUUUGCACGAAUAU